AAAAUUCGAAUCCUAAAAAGACACUGAAAACAUAACAAACACAGAUCUCAGAUUGUCCGAUUCGGAUACAAUUCUGAUUCUGUUUUGAGCAGAAACUUUCAUGGGAAGAGAGGAAAAUCACUUUUCAUUUUAACUGACAUUGAAUAAAUUUAAUUAAAAGUACAUUUAAAAAUGGAGAAGUGCAAUGAUAGAAUGCUAACAAGUGUGGCCAAGUACCUAUGUAUGUGCUGUUCAUGUAGAGUGUGUAGAACCAGUGACGGAAAGCUACGGUUGGCAAUAUAAAGUUUAAAUUAAAUUGGUUGGCGGUUGGCGCAUGGGCACCGCGAUUGCAUACAGAUACAUGUAUCUCUGCAGCUAUGCCGUGAUUGAACACUUUAAAUUUAACGAAAUAUUAGCUUGAAGGAGGCAUAGAAGAUAAUUUGGAUGGAAGUGGACACUAUCAAUCACGUAGUUGAUAACAAGGAUUUUCAACAGCAUUCUGAAGCCUAAUCUGAACCGAAUGUCGAUAUUGAAGGCAUUAAAGUAUUUAAAUUUGCUUCAAAGGAGUAAACACAUUCCGUUCAUUCCAUUGCCAUUUUCGAGUUGUAUGUUUUCCAGGAGCGAGCUCCAGCAAUAUGUCGGUCAGAGGAGAAAUGCAUGCUUAUAUUUGAUAGCAAAUUAAUCCGAAGCACCGCUCACGGGAUCACACCUAUGAGGCUGUUCUACACAAUUAAUUUAUUGCUAAUUUUCAUUCAUGGGACAUUUCGCAACACUGAGUUAAACGCUUUGCAGACAGUGGAAGUUCUCAUGUGACAAAUGUGAGCGAACAUCUAAUUAAUUGAUUCGCCUAUUCCAACCGGUCGUGAUAGACACGAUGGAAGCAAAAAUUCGUUUCGAGCAAAUAUAGAAGACAUAUAUUAGCCUGAUGAAGAAAAGCUCAUUAUGUUUAGUAUAUUUAUAAAUUUUUCUGACAAUAAAAAUGUAUCAUUGACGACAAUGGCUGCCACGGACUCCCCGAAAGAUAGCUUUGUUCUUACAGUGAGAAAGUCUUGUGGGGAAGUCGUUGACACCAGACACUUCGUUUUUUUUGCCGAAAUAAUGAUAACAAUCAAAAUCACUCAUGUCUAUGUAUACUUACUGUUUUAUUUUUAGUUACAUAAGGAAAAAGAAAAAAGUGAUUUCAAACGGACACUGAAUAUUGUAAUCCUUGAAAUAUGGGUCACGAGAUGAAAAUGAUUUCUUUCGCCAGCAUGCUACCAAAACGUGAGCAUGUGAGACAUUUAGUUUUGUUAAGUGACAUCGAAGUAUCUGAAAUGUGUGGGAUCUAAACUGAUUUAUUUAAUUCCAUACUAAUAGACGUAUUCAUGUAUUUUGGGUACGAAUUGAUAUGAUAGAGUUGAAGACCAAUUGAGCGCAACGAUCUAGGACAUUAAAUAAAUUACCCUGGUGGAUAUACAUAGCCAAAAACCUACCCCAUAAGUGUUUUCGCAGGAAUUGGGGAACUGCAGUUUUACACUCUCGCGUGGGGAUCAAUCGCACUAACCGUGUAAUGUGGAGAGUGUUGGAGGAUAGCACUAACGUUGCAUUUUAAUCGAGUGGAGUGGAAAGCCAAUGGAGAAGUUAUGCCAAAGUAGAAAAUUGAAUAGGCUGGCGGUGCAACUCUUGAAUAGUUCUAUGCACCUAUGAGAAUGCAAAUCAAAUUGAC